UACGGGGGGGGCAAGCGUUGUUCGGAAUUACUGGGCGUAAAGGGCUCGUAGGCGGCCAACUAAGUCGGAUGUGAAAUCCCCAGGCUUAACCUGGGAACUGCAUCCGAUACUGGAUGGCUUGAAUCCGGGAGAGGGAUGCGGAAUUCCAGGUGUAGCGGUGAAAUGCGCAGAUAUCAGGAGGAACACCAAUAGCGAAGGCAGCUCGCUGGGACGUUACUGACACUGAGGCGCGAAAGCGUGGGGAGCGAACAGG
rnacentral:rRNA from 1 species